rnacentral:lncRNA from 1 species
ACUAUACAUGAAGAAGAGGCGCCGCUGGAAGCACCGACUCCGCCACCCAACGAAUCCCAGGACGACUGAGAAAACGAAGAGUCCCGUUCGGAGGACUUAAAAACACCGAACGCCUUGCCAAGAGGUAAACUUGGUAGUUAUCAUUUCCCUUUCAAUUAUUUAAAAUAGUUUGCUUAGUUAAUCAUGUUCAUACUGUCCUAAAAAGAAAAUAAAAAUGUGAAAAACAGUAAGCUCCAU